AUACGUAGGGGGCGAGCGUUGUCCGGAAUGAUUGGGCGUAAAGGGCGCGUAGGCGGCGCGGUAAGUCUGGAGUGAAAGUCCUGCUUUCAAGGUGGGAAUUGCUUUGGAUACUGCCGCGCUUGAGUGCAGGAGAGGUUAUCGGAAUUCCCGGUGUAGCGGUGAAAUGCGUAGAGAUCGGGAGGAACACCAGUGGCGAAGGCGGGUAACUGGACUGCAACUGACGCUGAGGCGCGAAAGUGUGGGGAGCAAACAGGAUUAGAUACCCUGGUAGUCCACACUGUAAACGAUGAAUGCUAGGUGUAAGAGGUAUCGACCCCUUUUGUGCCGGAGUCAACACAAUAAGCAUUCCGCCUGGGGAGUACGGCCGCAAGGUUGAAACUAAAAGGAAUUGACGGGG
rnacentral:rRNA from 1 species